rnacentral:rRNA from 1 species
CCUACGGGUGGCUGCAGUGGGGAAUAUUGGACAAUGGGGGCAACCCUGAUCCAGCCAUGCCGCGUGUGUGAAGAAGGCCCUCGGGUUGUAAAGCACUUUCAGUGAGGAAGAACGCCUGGUGGUUAAUACCCAUCAGGAAAGACAUCACUCACAGAAGAAGCACCGGCUAACUCCGUGCCAGCAGCCGCGGUAAUACGGAGGGUGCGAGCGUUAAUCGGAAUUACUGGGCGUAAAGCGCGCGUAGGGGGCUUGAUAAGCCGGUUGUGAAAGCCCCGGGCUCAACCUGGGAACGGCAUCCGGAACUGUCAAGCUAGAGUGCAGGAGAGGAAGGUAGAAUUCCCGGUGUAGCGGUGAAAUGCGUAGAGAUCGGGAGGAAUACCAGUGGCGAAGGCGGCCUUCUGGACUGACACUGACACUGAGGUGCGAAAGCGUGGGUAGCAAACAGGAUUAGAUACCCUAGUAGUC